rnacentral:tRNA from 1 species
GGCAUGUUACCUCAUGUUAUAGGGGAGCACAUCAUUCGUAAUGAUGGGGUCACGUGUUCGAGUCACGUAAGCGGCACCA